UACGUAGGUGGCAAGCGUUAUCCGGAAUUAUUGGGCGUAAAGAGGGAGCAGGCGGCAGCAAAGGUCUGUGGUGAAAGACUGAAGCAUAACUUCAGUAAGCCAUAGAAACCAGGCAGCUAGAGUGCAGGAGAGGAUCGUGGAAUUCCAUGUGUAGUGGUGAAAUGCGUAGAUAUAUGGAAGAACGCCAGUGGCGAAAGCGGCUCUCUGGUCUGUAACUGACGCUGAGGUUCGAAAGCGUGGGUAGCAAACAGG
rnacentral:rRNA from 1 species